rnacentral:rRNA from 1 species
CUACGUGCCAGCAGCCGCGGUAAUACGGAAGGUCCGGGCGUUAUCCGGAUUUAUUGGGUUUAAAGGGUGCGUAGGCGGCCUGUUAAGUCAGCGGUGAAAUCUAGGAGCUUAACUCCUAAAUUGCCAUUGAUACUGGCGGGCUUGAGUGUAGAUGAGGUAGGCGGAAUGCGUGGUGUAGCGGUGGAAUGCAUAGAUAUCACGCAGAACUCCGAUUGCGAAGGCAGCUUACUAAGGUACAACUGACGCUGAAGCACGAAAGCGUGGGUAUCAAACAGGAUUAGAUACCCUGGUAGUCCACGCUGUAAACGAUGUCGAUUUGGGGGUUGAACUUUGAGUUUGGCGCCCGUAGCUAACGUGAUAAAUCGACCGCCUGGGGAGUACGGCCGCAAGGUUAAAACUCAAAUGAAUUGACGGGGGCCCGCACAAGCGGUGGAGCAUGUGGUUUAAUUCGAUGCAACGCGAAGAACCUUACCUACUCUUGACAUCCAGAGAACAUUC